AGUGAACGCUGGCGGUAGGCUUAACACAUGCAAGUCGAACGGCAGCACAGUAAGAGCUUGCUGUUACGGGUGGCGAGUGGCGGACGGGAGAGGAAUACAUCGGAAUCUACUCUUUCGUGGGGGAUAACGAAGGGAAACUUACGCUAAUACCGCAUACGACCUACGGGUGAAAGCAGGGGAUCUUCGGAGCUUGCGCGAUUGAACGAGCCGAUGUCGGAUUGGCUAGUUGGCGGGGUAAAGGCCCACCAAGGCGACGAUCCGUAGCUGGACGGAGAGGAUGGUCAGCCGCACUAGAGCGUGGACACCGUCCAGACUCCUGCGGUAGGCAGCAGUGUGCAAUGUUGGGCAGUGGUGGCGAGCCUUGUCCAACCGUCCCGCGUCGGUUACGACGGCCCUCGGUUUGUGAUGCCCUUUUGUGGGGUGUGAACAGCAGCAGGUUGAUACCCCGCUGUUCUGACGGUACCCGAAGAAUAAGCACCGGCUAACUUCGUG
rnacentral:rRNA from 1 species